UACACCUGUUCCCAUCUCGAACACAGAAGUUAAGCUCCGUUGCGCUGAUGGUACUUGGCGGGCAGCUGCCUGGGAGAGUAAGUCGUCGCCGGUU
rnacentral:rRNA from 1 species